UACGUAUGGUGCAAGCGUUAUCCGGAUUUACUGGGUGUAAAGGGAGCGCAGGCGGCACGGCAAGCCUGAUGUGAAAGCCCGCGGCCCAACCGCGGGACUGCAUUGGGAACUACCGGGCUGGAGUGCCAGAGAGGUAGGCGGAAUUCCUAGUGUAGCGGUGAAAUGCGUAGAUAUUAGGAGGAACACCAGUGGCGAAGGCGGCCUACUGGACGGUGACUGACGCUGAGGCUCGAAAGCGUGGGGAGCAAACAGG
rnacentral:rRNA from 1 species